rnacentral:rRNA from 1 species
CCUACGGGAGGCAGCAGUGAGGAAUAUUGGUCAAUGGCCGUAAGGCUGAACCAGCCAAGUAGCGUGAGGGAAGACUGCCCUAUGGGUUGUAAACCUCUUUUAUGCGGGGAUAAAGGUGUCCACGUGUGGAUGUUUGCAGGUACCGCAUGAAUAAGGACCGGCUAAUUCCGUGCAAGCAGCUGCGGUAAUACGGGAGGUCCGGGCGUUAUCCGGAUGUAUUGGGUUUAAAGGGAGCGUAGGCCGGUCUUUAAGCGUGCCGUGAAAUUUUGGGGCUCAACCAUGAGAGUGCGGCGCGAACUGGAGACCUUGAGUGCGCGGAAGGCAGGCGGAAUUCGUGGUGUAGCGGUGAAAUGCUUAGAUAUCACGAAGAACCCCGAUUGCGAAGGCAGCCUGCCGCAGCGUUACUGACGCUGAAGCUCGAAAGCGCGGGUAUCGAACAGGAUUAGAUACCCCUGUAGUC